rnacentral:rRNA from 1 species
UAGGGAAUCUUCGGCAAUGGACGAAAGUCUGACCGAGCAACGCCGCGUGAGUGAAGAAGGUUCUCGGAUCGUAAAACUCUGUUGUUAGAGAAGAACAAGGACGUUAGUAACUGAACGUCCCCUGACGGUAUCUAACCAGAAAGCCACGGCUAACUACGUGCCAGCAGCCGCGGUAAUACGUAGGUGGCAAGCGUUGUCCGGAUUUAUUGGGCGUAAAGCGAGCGCAGGCGGUUUCUUAAGUCUGAUGUGAAAGCCCCCGGCUCAACCGGGGAGGGUCAUUGGAAGCUGGGGGACUUGAGUGCAGAAGAGGAGCGUGGAAUUCCAUGUGUAGCGGUGAAAUGCGUAGAUAUAUGGGGGAACACCAGUGGCGAAGGCGGCUCUCUGGUCUGUAACUGACGCUGAGGCUCGAAAGCGUGGGGAGCAAACAGG